UUUUUUUUUAGCCGCAUACGUUUCCUGCUUUCCCCAAAUCCUCUAAUUCUUGCACCUUAUCCAAACCCACACUUAUAUACAAAAAUCUUAUCCUUCCUUCCCUCAAAUGAACAUACAGACAACACACAACCUUCAUUAUCUAAAGUCUGAGCAUUUUGAUGAAACCCUACCCUUUUAAACCACCCGACACCUCCCUUUCUCUUGGUUAAACGACCAUGCUGCGGAGAAAUCGAAGAACUCGAGGAGAGAGAGAACCCAGCGAGGGAGAGAGAGAACGCAGGAGUACCAUUUCCAGCGACGGACCGCUGAUGGCGGUGGAGACGUCCGGUGGCGGCGGUGACCACCGGAACUCCGAUCCGACGAAGAUCACAACCGGCCGAAGUUGUCAGAGCCGGUGGAACACCGGCGACGACAGGCGGCGCUGACGCCGCUCACGGCGGUGGCGGUGGAAUUUCGCGAAGAUUGUUCGGUUUUUGUCCACAUCGAUGAAGAUGGUGAUGAUUUUUUUUCUGGUAGUAGUGUGGGUGUAUGAUGUAAUGGUGAUGGAAGAUGUCAACCGUGAUGGGUGGGGUGGCUAACGGAGGCGCACGACAGCAGUGGUGGUUAUCAUCUUUUAGUUCGGGUUCGAGUGAAGAGGUUACGGAUUCGGGUUAUGUUUGGUUAGAUCCAGCUGAGUUUUGUUUUCUUUUGUGUGAGAAUUUGGUUCCGAGUUGGAUUGUUUCGGGCUCGGUCAACAGCCGUCAACGAGGAGUUCGGGUCAAACAAAGUCAAACCAGUCAACACGUCAGGUUGACUGGUCAAUGCUGGUCAACGGGAGUCAAGGGCAGAAUUCGGUUUGGGUUUCGCGACUCAGUCGGGUUCGACUCAACUCAACUGCGUUUCGGGUCAAACCCGGUUGGCUCGGUCAACACCCGAGUCAACUCGGGUCGACAACAGGUCAAGGUAGUCAACAACAGUCAACUCCUGGUCAACACGAGAGGCCCGGUAAAGUUGUUAGCGUAGCGAGUUAGUUACGUUAGAUUUUAGUUAGUUAUACGCGACCGAGCUCGACCCGAAUGGAUUAGCGAUUGGUUACAUUUUAUUUUAUAGUAUUUCAUAAAAUUUUAGUAUAUUUUGUUUGAAGUGAUUGAAUUUUGAAAUUAUACGACGCAUUC